GGUGGCUCACCUUUCCCAGCUGUAGCAAGCAGGGUGUCCUUCCCCGAAAGUUUUACCCCAUGUGUCAACUUUUUUGAAAUGAGGACAGGCACUCCCGAUUCACCAGAAGGUCGUACCUAUGUAGGGAUGAAAAGUAGAAUCGGCCACCCACCUGGCCGGAUUAGGGAUACAAAAACAUGGAUAAUAUGUACAAAAGUACAAAACAACUAUAUACAGUGCCAUUGGGGUAGGAACACGUGGCUCCUUCAUCAGACAUAGUUGGACUGACGUGACCGAAAGACUUUUGUGAUACAGGUGAGCUCUAAUACUCUAACAGUUUGUGGUGGUGAAAAUUUAUUUAUUUUUUCCUUUUCCCUCCCAUGUUUGUCCAGUGCCCUUUCUUGUAACCUCAGUAACUUACUGUUCAGUCUACUGCUAUAUAGGUUGGCCAGGGUGUGGUAGUGUCAGUGUUCCCAGUGUAAACGGGUGUAAUCUUAAUCAGGUAGUGCGAUCAGUCUCCAUCCCCCAGCUGUUCCCUGGCAUUGUGCGAAGCUUUGAGGACAUAAUGGCACAUUAUUUACAUCCUUGGGCACUGGUGGGAUACUGUGGGCCCUUGUUCUGGGUACCUAAGGGCAUGCUCGGCUAAUAGUUCUAUCAAGUAAUGUUAGGACUGUGAGUGGAAUUCCUUCAGUCUACUGGUCCUCUUUUGCUAUAGUCUCUUCCUGACCCAUCUCCAGUCAUCCCCCUUCCCCCCCAACAGCAGAAGGAAAAGGGAUUAUCAUAUAAUAUAUCUCAACUAAGCUCAAAUGGUAAGCUGCUUUUAACACUCAGAAUAUGUACAG